rnacentral:misc_RNA from 1 species
UUCAUUGAGAAGGGUGAGGUG